rnacentral:rRNA from 1 species
GAUGAACGCUGGCGGCGUGCCUAAUACAUGCAAGUCGAGCGAAUGGAUUAAGAGCUUGCUCUUAUGAAGUUAGCGGCGGACGGGUGAGUAACACGUGGGUAACCUGCCCAUAAGACUGGGAUAACUCCGGGAAACCGGGGCUAAUACCGGAUAACAUUUUGAACCGCAUGGUUCGAAAUUGAAAGGCGGCUUCGGCUGUCACUUAUGGAUGGACCCGCGUCGCAUUAGCUAGUUGGUGAGGUAACGGCUCACCAAGGCAACGAUGGGUAGCCGACCGGAGAGGGUGAGCGGCCAGACUGGGACUGAGACACGGCCCAGACUCCUACGGGAGGCAGCAGUAGGGAAUCUUCCGCAAUGGACGAAAGUCUGACGGAGCAACGCCGCGUGAGUGAUGAAGGCUUUCGGGUCGUAAAACUCUGUUGUUAGGGAAGAACAAGUGCUAGUUGAAUAAGCUGGCACCUUGACGGUACCUAACCAGAAAGCCACGGCUAACUACGUGCCAGCCGCCGCAGUAA